GACGAACGCUGGCGGCGUGCUUAACACAUGCAAGUCGAACGGAAAGGCCCCAGCUUGCUGGGGUACUCGAGUGGCGAACGGGUGAGUAACACGUGGGUGAUCUGCCCUGCACUCUGGGAUAAGCCUGGGAAACUGGGUCUAAUACCGGAUAGGACCGUGCUUUAGUGUGUGCGGUGGAAAGUUUUUCGGUGCAGGAUGAGCCCGCGGCCUAUCAGCUUGUUGGUGGGGUAAUGGCCUACCAAGGCGGCGACGGGUAGCCGGCCUGAGAGGGUGUACGGCAACAUGGGGCCUGAGACACGGCCCGGACUCCAACGGGAGGCAGCAGUGGGGAAUAUUGCACAAUGGGGGCAGGCCUGAUGCAGCGACGCCGCGGGGGGGAUGACGGCCUUCGGGUUGUAACCCCCUUUCGGCAGGGACGAAGCUGUUGUGACGGUACCUGCAUAAGAAGCACCGGCUAACUACGUG
rnacentral:rRNA from 1 species